rnacentral:rRNA from 1 species
UACGUAGGGCGCAAGCGUUGUCCGGAAUUAUUGGGCGUAAAGAGCUCGUAGGUGGCGUGUCGCGUCUGCCGUGAAAGCCCAUGGCUUAACUGUGGGUCUGCGGUGGAUACGGGCAGGCUGGAGGCUGGUAGGGGCAAGCGGAAUUCCUGGUGUAGCGGUGAAAUGCGCAGAUAUUAGGAGGAACACCGGUGGCGAAGGCGCCACUCUGGGCCGAAACUGACGCUGAGGAGCGAAAGCAUGGGUAGCAAACAGG